rnacentral:lncRNA from 1 species
AAUUUUGGGUCAGUGGCCAGCAUCAAUCCCGGCCUGGGAUACUGACAUUCUGUCCCAAUGACAGCUCUCUCUGCCAAUCUUAGAUUCUCCAGCAGCAUUUUAAUAUGACUUGGAUGUGACAGAUGUACAUGCUUUUGUGCCCAGACUUUGUCUUGGAAAGGAGGACAUUGUCUUUUGGAGAGCAAAGAAAGAAUAAUGAUUGCUAAUGAAAUCCAGAGAGAAAGGCACUCUGAUGGUCUUUAUUUUCCAGAUGAAGAAACUAAGGCAAAGCAAGUCUAAGUAUCUCAGCCAAGGUCUCACAUCUGAUACAUGA